rnacentral:tRNA from 1 species
GCCCCCUUAGUUAAGUGGCAUAACGGGUCCAUGGUAAGGAUCAGUUGGUGGUUCGAUUCCGCCAGGGGGCACCA